UCUAACACCCCUGGAAAGGACUGCAAUGGGGUUUGGCACAGGACUGUGGGUCCAUUGGCUGCAGGUUCAAGUCCACACCUGGGGCGCACAGCAGGAGCUGGGACGCACAGCCAGAGGCCUGGCAGAUCUGGGAUUAUGUGGAUCUUGGAUGUCCAUUUGGGACAGGGCUGAUGUGGAAAAUAUCAAAAGACACGCUAACUAUUUUGAACAUUGAUGACAUUGAGGCACUGGCUACUGAGGAAGAGGACGGUGUAUAAUAUGCAUGACAUUGCUAAGCUGUUUAACCAAACCCAGUGCUGUCAUCGAGAGCUAACGAAAACAACGUAAAGCCCUGUGCUUUCUUGUUCAACUCAGAAGCCAAAUGUUCAUCAAUCACGUCUACAUGGUGAGUAACAGUUCUUCGGGACAAGCUAAUGUUCUCAAAUUUGUUUUGGAAUUCCGGGCACAGCAUGACAGCAACAUCACCCAUGCAUUCUUUCAAAAACUCCCCUUCAGCAAAAGGCUUAUUUUGUUUAGCGAUUUUAAAUGCCAAAACAUAACUUGCCAAAUUGCAGAUUGUCGCACAUAAAGCUGAGUUUUUAAGUUCGUGGUGAGUGUCUCAGCUUUUCUUGCCCUUUCCUCGGUUGUUAAAUUGCUGCCAUAAUUAGGAUGUUUCAUUGAAAAAUGGCAAUUCAAGUUGUACUCCUUGAACACCGCGAUGCUCUCCUGACAAAUCAGGCAAACAGCCUUCGAGUUCACGUUUGUGAAAAAAUAUUUUGUGUUCCAUUCUUUGUUGAAAACCAGACACUCAUUGUCCACUUU